GCCCAUGUGGCGGAACUGGUAGACGCCCUAGACUUGGGAUCUAGCGACACUGGCGUGUCAGCUUGAGUCUGACCGAGGGCA